GAGAGACAGGACGAAAAGAGAAAAGAGGCCAGAUCAGACUCAGAUAGUCAGGCAGAGCAGGCAGAAACCGUAAACCCCUCAUCCCUACAGCCUUUCAGACAGGAACUUCAAACCUAGAUAUGCGAGGAUCAAGCAUAAAGCCCAUCUCCUCUCAGCUGAGCUCUGCACGUCUGAAGACCUCUGCUAUGUCUGCUCACUUAAUGAGUGUAUCCUAGAUUAUGAUUAAUUUAUGAUCCUGUCAAGUUGAGUCAAAGGAUCAUUGGACGACUCACUAUAUGGUAAUAAUGUGUUUGUUUGUUAACAAGUACAGAAUUCCAGUAGAUGUCCAUCUUUAACCAGCAGUUAUUUGUUUCUUGCAGUCAUGUCAUUGCUCACACUAUCCUGAAUGCAGAGCCACCUAGGUCACAAUUCUGAGGAAAUGAUAAAACAUCCAAAUGCAAAUAUGAAAACAUAGAUAGUAAAGGUAAGAAAAACACAAUAUCCAAAUGGAUGAAAGACAACACUCAACAACAACAAAUAGUUUAUCACAUGAAAAUAUAAUGAUAAGAAUAUAAUAAUGUACUUUCUAGGGGUUAACACCGUCUGCCUUUUCCCUAAUGAUGUUUCUCCCUGGCUUUACUCCCACUGUGGCAAUCUAAUUAAAGCUUCCUAGCCAAACAAACCAGCCCGAGUUGUUCUGGUUCCUGGUAGGAUGGGGGUUGCCAGAGGGCCCAGGGGCCCAGGGUGUGUGUGUCCUGGCCGGAUGCUUCAGUCUUACCCAGGCUGGAGCGUGUACUGGAGCGCUCGAUGAUAGUGUGCUUGCUGGGGUUGUUGAGGACUGAACGCUUGGCUAGGGAGAUGUCUGCUGUGACCCGUGUAAUGGAGAUCCUGCAAACAACCACCAACAUCCAAUCACUGUCGAUUUUCGGAUGACGUGUUAUUAAUGUCACGUGCUACGACACAAUUUUAUAGAUAUCGUAUCUGGCCCACAACUAACCUUCCCUCAAACUUGUGUUUAAGAAAAUCAAACAGAGCCUUCUGCAUCAUGUCCGUCACCUGGAGAUAUGAGAAAAUGAUAAGCACAAUAAGGCUACUGAAUCCAGCGAUAUUCAAAGGGGAAAUGAACAAGACAGUGGGUGGAGAUGAUCCUACCUCAUAGCCCUUGAGUGAAGGCCCCACGAGAAUGAUGGGUCUCAUGGAUGGAACCACAUCAUAGGGGGGGACGUGCUCCAUCUGAACCAGGAAGAGAGCACAGAGUCUGGGAUCUGUAUUCCUGGAGCGCGCACUCCUCUGCAUGCAGCUCAGCUCUUCAGAACACUGAGAGGGUUGGAGAGCCACACUUCACUAAGGACCAGAACUGCUGACAGACAGUGAGAGGAGUGGAGCGAGAGCCACGGCCUCUCAAACAGGCCGCCGCAAAUGGAAACUAAAACACAUCAGGGUUAAUUAGCGUUAGCCACGAUUCUGUGUUUGUGCGACAGGGCAUCUGGCACACCUGCCUGGGUCACCCUGUCGGCACCAGAGAGCGGUGACACAGGCUUUAUCUAGAUGUUGGUGAGGGAUAUUAUUUAUUUGACAUUUCGUAAUUUCUCGGUUUGCAGUGUGCCAUCUGUUGACGCUGUCUAAGACUGUUUAACCUUUCGGAACUGAUUGCGAUACUUCACGAUGCAAAGAAAAGUGUUGUCAAGACAUUUUUCGUGCAUCCUUACGUUUGACUCUUAAGCAUGAGCUGAUAUGAGAAAUCCACGUCAGAACAAGUAAAAGGAGCAGGAUACAGGAUGAAAGGUUAAAAGUUAGUCUCGUUAGAGAAAAACAAACUCACCGACUUCUGUUUCUGUUUGGUUGGGCCACCUAAAGUAUCAUUCGGCAGACAAACCCAAACGAGAGAAAGAGCAGAACGGAAAGAAGAAGAGACAAAGGCACAAAACAUGGAGCACGUGUUGUUAUUGACAAGUUAGGAUUAGAGGGGGACAUCGGGAGAGGAGCUGUUCAAUGAUCAAGGAGAGACCGAUAGAGACCAGCUCUAUCUGCACUGCACGUUGUCAUGAAAUCUGGGAAAACAUAUUCUGAAAUAUGACUGCAGUGCUCUACUGCAGUUUUUGAGAAUAGAACUCAGCCCCUCUCCCAGAUGCCAAGCACAAAAAACACACACGCAAACAUUUCCCAGCGUUACCGUAGCAACCGGAGACGGAGGGGACCAAUCAGGAUUAGAG